AGUCGAGCGAGCGGAACCACAGAUUUACUUCGGUAAUGACGUUGGGAAAGCGAGCGGCGGAUGGGUGAGUAACACGUGGGGAACCUGCCCCUAAGUCUGGGAUACCAUUUGGAAACAGGUGCUAAUACCGGAUAAUAAAGCGGAUCGCAUGAUCAGCUUUUGAAAGGCGGCGUAAGCUGUCGCUAAGGGAUGGCCCCGCGGUGCAUUAGCUAGUUGGUAAGGUAACGGCUUACCAAGGCGACGAUGCAUAGCCGAGUUGAGAGACUGAUCGGCUACAUUGGGACUGAGACACGGCCCAAACUCCUACGGGAGGCAGCAGUAGGGAAUCUUCCACAAUGGACGCAAGUCUGAUGGAGCAACGCCGCGUGAGUGAAGAAGGUUUUCGGAUCGUAAAGCUCUGUUGUUGGUGAAGAAGGAUAGAGGUAGUAACUGGCCUUUAUUUGACGGUAAUCAACCAGAAAGUCACGGCUAACUACGUGCCAGCAGCCGCGGUAAUACGUAGGUGGCAAGCGUUGUCCGGAUUUAUUGGGCGUAAAGCGAGCGCAGGCGGAAAAAUAAGUCUAAUGUGAAAGCCCUCGGCUUAACCGAGGAACUGCAUCGGAAACUGUUUUUCUUGAGUGCAGAAGAGGAGAGUGGAACUCCAUGUGUAGCGGUGGAAUGCGUAGAUAUAUGGAAGAACACCAGUGGCGAAGGCGGCUCUCUGGUCUGCAACUGACGCUGAGGCUCGAAAGCAUGGGUAGCGAACAGGAUUAGAUACCCUGGUAGUCCAUGCCGUAAACGAUGAGUGCUAAGUGUUGGGAGGUUUCCGCCUCUCAGUGCUGCAGCUAACGCAUUAAGCACUCCGCCUGGGGAGUACGACCGCAAGGU
rnacentral:rRNA from 1 species